GACGAACGCUGGCGGCGUGCUUAACACAUGCAAGUCGAACGGUGAAGGGACCGGUUUUUGCUGGUUCUGGAUGAGUGGCGACCGGGUGAGUAACACGUGAGUAACCUGCCCCCCUCUUCUGGAUAACCGCAUGAAAGUGUGGCUAAUACGGGAUAUUCUGCGCCUGCUGCAUGGUGGGUGUGGGAAAGAUAUUGUUUCGGUGGGGGAUGGGCUCGCGGCCUAUCAGCUUGUUGGUGGGGUGAUGGCCUACCAAGGCGGUGACGGGUAGCCGGCCUGAGAGGGUGGACGGUCACACUGGGACUGAGACACGGCCCAGACUCCUACGGGAGGCAGCAGUGGGGAAUAUUGCACAAUGGGCGCAAGCCUGAUGCAGCGACGCCGCGUGAGGGAUGGAGGCCUUCGGGUUGUAAACCUCUUUCGCCAGUGAAGCAGGCCUGUCCCUUUUGUGGGUGGGUUGACGGUAGCUGGAUAAGAAGCGCCGGCUAACUACGUG
rnacentral:rRNA from 1 species